ensembl:lncRNA
CCUCCCGCCAUCCUCAGCACGUAUUUCCAUAAUGGCCUGUGUUCUCUGGGUUGUUACUAGCUGAGGGACACCGGAAUGACUCAAAGUCAAACAGGUUUUUAAAUUGCAGAAUUUUCAGGCCUUAACACGCAAAUGUCACAUGACUCUGUAAAAGGCAUGAUGGAGGCAACGGUCUUUCCUAACAGCACGUUUCUAGGGAGCGCCUCCCAACACUAACAUUCCAUGAAAGUCCUAAUGUAACCCACCCUCUCACUUAACAAGGGGGGAGCUGAGGCCUGGAGUACACAGCUAGAACAGGCUAAGUGGAGACAGCUUGAAGUCCUCCAAGUGGGACCGAGGAGGUGAAGUGUGCUUACCGGGUGGCUGCUCUUCUGGGAGGUGAGGGACUCAUUGCUCAGCCCCCAGCCUUGGGGAGCAUUUGCCCUGUGAGUGAAUACGCACUGUAUCACAGCAAGGCAUUUCGGGGGACUGGACUGAGACUUCAGAAUAGACCGCCAUGGAGUGUCAUCACAUAGACGAGGUUCUGUGAUGCAAAGAUUUGCUGUGGGUGCUCUCCUCCUAGUUCCACGUGAAGACACCCCUGCAGCACGCAAUACAGUCAGUGCCUUCCAGGUGUUCUGAGCAUCACGCAGACGCUCAUCUGCAUGACAACCUACAACCCAGGUGCCAUCAUCAUUCUCAUUGAUCAGAUGAGGAAACUGAGGCACAGAGACAUUCAGUGAUUCAUUUCCUGCAGGGCCAGGACCUGAGUUCAGCCUCUCUCUCAACCAUCAUUGUGAGCUCAUUUUUUUUUUUUUUUUCUCAAGAAAUACUGACGACACACUGCCUGUGACGGGUGCUUUCACCUACAGAACCAACACUUUGUAUGCUGGUGUCAUUACUGCCCUCACAACGCCUGCUACUGUGGUCGAAUGACAGUGUCCCCUCCAAAAUUCAUGGUGAAAUGCAAUGCAGAGCGGCCUUUGAGAGGUCCACAAAUGAACGAACACAGCCUCUGGGUCACUACUGCCCUUCUGCCCUGACGGCAGGUACAAAACUUUGGAAUCUUGCUCAGGGCCAGCCCAGGGGCUUCCGCUCCAGGGAGUCCAGCAAACCACCAGGCUGUCCCCGCAGCCCUCCCUCCUGCCGGGUCCACGGUGCUUCCGGUGAGCCUCAGCUUGGAUCCUCGACAUCUGAGGCAGGCCCCACUUGGGGAGCUGCACAAUUUGAGCUUUGUCACGUUUAUGAAGGUAAAUUAAAAUAUUAUCACUAGAGACCUUCAAUCAUUCAGAAAAGCCUGGGACUUCUAAUGAGCAAGUGGUAUGAUUAAAAGUUGGAAAGACCAAAUGCCUUUUCUUUUUGGAUUAGGAGCCUUGCUGUGGAUGGGGAGGCACAUGCGGCUCUUGAAGCCAAAAGCUUGGACUGGGGUUCAGCUGGUGCCAUAUCCCUCUCACGGAAGGUACCAGGUAUUGAAGUCCUACUAUGUGCUGGGCGUUUGGCCUUUCUUCUCUCAUGAAUCCUGACGAAAAGCCAGGCCAUGGGGCGGCCUGCCCUGCUGGCCGCACGUUGGCAUCACGUGGGAGUUUAGAGAAGAUGGAAUAAUGGAGCUGUACCUGCAUCGAGCCCAAGGCAGAAGCAGACCCAGGAAGCAGGAUUUUCCCAACUCUCACACAAUUCUGAUGAGCAGCCUGGGCCUGGAGCCACUGGGUUAGCACAGCGCUUCUCAAACGUGGGGGUGUGCUGGAAGGAAAGGAGGGCAUAUUAAAACAGAUCCCUGGGCCUGUGCCAGAGUUCCUGGUCUGGGCGGGGCCCAGGAAUCAGCAUUUCAAGUCAGUUCUCAUUAACGCACAUGGUGCUGGUCCCGUUUCUCAGGUAGGCAGUUUGAGAAACGGAGAGGUAAGGGCGAAGGUGAGGUGUCUCACCGCCAGCACAUGGGAGAGUGGGGCUCGGAAUCCUCGAGGUAAAUUUUUCAAUCCCUUUGUGCCUUUGCCUUCUCCAUCUUCAGCGUGGGGAAAACAAUACCUUCUCUAUACAGAUGUUGUGAAGUUCAGUGAGCUCUUCCAGCCAGACAACGCCUUGUCCACGGUACACGUUCAGGGCAUUCAUGGUCAUUACUGUCUCUGUUAUCUGGCAGGAUAGUCGAAGGGUGUCCCCUGGGCAUUCUUCCUCCAGCCCCAGACAGCUCCAGGCAUGUCUCUGGGAUACCUGUUUCCCUAAUGUCACUCUCUGUUCACCUGUGUGCCCUCAUCAGGCUGUGAGGUCCCUAAGAGCAGGCACCAGGUAUGAUUCAGGCUGGAGCCCAGUGCCCAGCCUGGAGCUGGGAGAAGGGAAGGUGACGAGUGAGCAAGGCUGGGCGUGCGGAGGGUCCUAGCGUUGUGGGCAGUAGUUAGUUUCUUAGCCCUGGACAGUAUCUACUGUUGACCUGAUGGACCUGAAGGUCAGAUGCGGAGCCCAACUAUCUGCACGUGGCCCAAUCGGUCUUGUGGCGCCUGUGGUGGCCUCACCAACAGCGCCUCCAUCAGCCUCUCAUGCC